AUUGAACGCUAGCGGGAUGCUUUACACAUGCAAGUCGAACGAGUGGCGGACGGGUGAGUAAUAUAUCGGACCGUGCCCAGUAGCGGGGGAUAACUACUCGAAAGAGUGGCUAAUACCGCCUACUAUUCGAGAGGCCGCUAUCGGAUUAGCUAGUUGGUGGGGUAACGGCUCACAAAGGCAACGAUCCGUAGCUGGUUUGAGAGGACGUCAAGCCACACUGGGACUGAGACACGGCCCAGACUCCUACGUGAGGCAGCAGUGGGGAAUUUUGGACAAUGGGGGAAACCCUGAUCCAGCCAGCCCGAGUGUAUGAGAAGGCCUUCGGGUUGUAAAGUACUGUUGGCAGAGAAGCGGUAUCUGCAGAAUAAGCACCGGCUAACUACGUGCCAGCAGCCGCGGUAAUAC
rnacentral:rRNA from 1 species